GGGAAAGUGGCUCAGUGGUAGAGCACUUGCCUUGCAUGCAUGAGGCCCUGGGUUCGAUUCCUCAGCACCCCA
rnacentral:tRNA from 1 species